rfam:Brachypodium distachyon strain Bd21 chromosome 3, whole genome shotgun sequence.
AUAAUACUCCCUCCGUCCCACAACUCUUGUCUCAAAUUUGCCCAAAAAUGGAUGUAUCUAUUCCUAAAAAGCAUCUAGAUACAUGCAAUAUUUCGACAAGAAUUAUGGGACAGAGGGAGUAGAAA